rnacentral:SRP_RNA from 1 species
GCUGAUCUCGUGGUGGUGGCACGUGUGGUCCCAGCUCCUCGAACGGCAGAGGCAGAAGGACCCCCUGAGCUCAGGAGUGCCGGCAGAGAGAGCAUCGUGCCAGUUGGGGUCCCCAUGAAGUCUGGCAUCAAGAUGGUGCCCUCCUGGGAGUAGGUGACCACCAUGUUGUCUAAGGAGAGGUGAACCAGCCCACACCGGAAACAGAGCAGGUCAAAACUCCCAGGCUAAUCACUUAUGAGAACAUGCCUGUGACUCGUCACUGCACUCCAGCCUGAGCAACACAGUGCGACCCUUUCUAU